CUUUCCGUGCCAGUUUAAAGGCGAAAUAGGACACCUGGUAGAUAUCUGGCCUUACAUCAGGGUCUGGCUCCAGAAUGUAACCUGAGAUGGGAAAAAUGAAACAAAUCAAAACAAAAAAUGUCUACUGAUCUGCUACACUGCUGCUGCUGCUGUUGGUUAUUGCUGCUGCAGAGCAAGUAUGGGACUUGCUACUGCCAACACAUACACGACACGCUGCUAUGAGCAGCCGCCACGCCUUCUGUUUGUGGAUUCUGGGAACGGUUAAUGGCACUGCCAAAAUCACACAGUACAUAAUGACCUCUGUCAUGCAGCAAGAUGUUCUCCACCUAUAAAAGACACAAAGAGAAGAGAAACACGCGUGCUAG